rnacentral:rRNA from 1 species
AGUGAACGCUGGCGGUAGGCCUAACACAUGCAAGUCGAACGGCAGCACAGGAGAGCUUGCUCUCUGGGUGGCGAGUGGCGGACGGGUGAGGAAUACAUCGGAAUCUACUUUUUCGUGGGGGAUAACGUAGGGAAACUUACGCUAAUACCGCAUACGACCUACGGGUGAAAGCAGGGGACCUUCGGGCGUUGCGCGAUGGAAUGAGCCGAUGUCGGAUUAGCUAGUUGGCGGGGUAAAGGCCCACCAAGGUGACGAUCCGUAGCUGGUCUGAGAGGAUGAUCAGCCACACUGGAACUGAGACACAGUCCAGACUCCUACGUGAGGCAGCAGUGGGGAAUAUUGGACAAUGGGCGCAAGCCUGAUCCAGCCAUACCGCGUGGGUGAAGAAGGCCUUCGGGUUGUAAAGCCCUUUUGUUGGGAAAGAAAUCCAGCUGGCUAAUACCCGGUUGGGAUGACGGUACCCAAAGAAUAAGCACCGGCUAACUUCGUGCCAGCCGCCGCAGUAA